rnacentral:tRNA from 1 species
AGAUUUUUAGUGUAGUGGUAACACGACAAGCUCCAACCUUGUAGUCGUGGGUUCGAUUCCUGCAAAGUCUG